rnacentral:rRNA from 1 species
UACGGGGGGGGCAAGCGUUGUUCGGAAUUACUGGGCGUAAAGGGUUUGUAGGUGGCUUGCUAAGUCAGACGUGAAAUCCCUCAGCUUAACUGGGGAACUGCGUCUGAGACUGGCAAGCUUGAGUGCAGGAGAGGAACGCGGAAUUCCAGGUGUAGCGGUGAAAUGCGUAGAUAUCCGGAGGAACACCGGUGGCGAAGGCGGCUUCCUGGACCGACACUGACGCUGAGGCGCGAAAGCUAGGGGAGCAAACGGG